rnacentral:rRNA from 1 species
CCUACGGGAGGCAGCAGUGAGGAAUAUUGGUCAAUGGGCGAGAGCCUGAACCAGCCAAGUCGCGUGAGGGAGUACUGCCCUAUGGGUUGUAAACCUCUUUUGUCGGGGAGCAAAAGCCGGACGUGUCCGGCUGUGAGAGUACCCGAAGAAAAAGCAUCGGCUAACUCCGUGCCAGCAGCCGCGGUAAUACGGAGGAUGCGAGCGUUAUCCGGAUUUAUUGGGUUUAAAGGUUGCGCAGGCGGAUUUUUAAGUCAGCGGUAAAAUCGUGGGGCUCAACCCCAUCCAGCCGUUGAAACUGGGGAUCUAGAGUGUGCGAGAGGUAUGCGGAAUGCGUGGUGUAGCGGUGAAAUGCAUAGAUAUCACGCAGAACCCCGAUUGCGAAGGCAGCAUACCGGUGCACAACUGACGCUCAGGCACGAAAGCGUGGGUAUCGAACAGGAUUAGAUACCCUUGUAGUC